rnacentral:rRNA from 1 species
UACGUAGGGGGCAAGCGUUGUCCGGAUUUAUUGGGCGUAAAGAGCGUGUAGGCGGCUUUGCAAGUCCGUUGUGAAAACUCGAGGCUCAACCUCGAGACGCCGGUGGAAACUGCAAAGCUAGAGUCCGGAAGAGGAGAGUGGAAUUCCUGGUGUAGCGGUGAAAUGCGCAGAUAUCAGGAAGAACACCGGUGGCGAAGGCGGGUCUCUGGGCCGAUACUGACGCUGAGGAGCGAAAGCGUGGGGAGCGAACAGG